GUGGGGAAUAUUGGACAAUGGGGGGAACCCUGAUCCAGCCAUGCCGCGUGUGUGAAGAAGGCCUUUUGGUUGUAAAGCACUUUAAGCGAGGAGGAGGCUACCGAGAUUAAUACUCUUGGAUAGUGGACGUUACUCGCAGAAUAAGCACCGGCUAACUCUGUGCCAGCAGCCGCGGUAAUACAGAGGGUGCGAGCGUUAAUCGGAUUUACUGGGCGUAAAGCGUGCGUAGGCGGCUUUUUAAGUCGGAUGUGAAAUCCCUGAGCUUACCGUAGGAAUUGCAUUCGAUACUGGGAAGCUAGAGUAUGGGAGAGGAUGGUAGAAUUCCAGGUGUAGCGGUGAAAUGCGUAGAGAUCUGGAGGAAUACCGAUGGCGAAGGCAGCCAUCUGGCCUAAUACUGACGCUGAGGUACGAAAGCAUGGGGAGCAAACAGGAUUAGAAACCCGAGUAGUCC
rnacentral:rRNA from 1 species